AACAAUACUGUCAAACACAUUCACCAGGGGUUCCCCUCUAGGGAGGCUCAGAGCAUCUUGUGGGACUGACGUGUGCACAGUGCCCAGGGUCUGCUUGGGAAUCUGUGUCCCCCUCGGGCUGCCAGAGGACUUCACCGCUGACGGGGAAGUGUUGGGAAUUUCCAGGUGCGGCUGACACCCCCACUAGGAAGGCAGAUUCAUCACUCUACCAUCUCCAUUUCCUGGGGCUCCUCCUGUGUGCCCCAUGGCUCCCCUCAGCCUGGGGAGGGCUGGCCUGCAGGGGCCACACUCCUGUGGGCUGAAGCGCUUGCUCGGCCCCAUCACUGCUCCAGCAAGGUUGUCACCCGCCUUGGUAGCACUGCCCUGCGGAUGGAGUCGCAUGUUGGGCACACCUUUCUGAGCCUCAGGGUGUUCAGGAGUGUUCCUGGGGGUGACAGGCCCAGGAUCCCUGGAUGCCAGGCAGGCUGGUGUUGUGGAGAGAGCACUGGAUAGGGAGUCAGUGGCUCCGGGCUGCAGUCACUCCAUGUCUGCAGUAGUUCAGAGUACACAGGGACACAGGGCCUGGGGACCUGCGGGACACAGUCCCCGAAGUGGCCAGGCUGGGCUGCUGUGGACCUGCAUCUGGGGAGGGGCACUGGGCUGAGGGCUGCAGACUGCACAUGGGCCGCACCUGCUCUCUCUCAGAACCUGCCUCCCCAGCGUGUGGCCUGGGGGCUCCCCUCCAG
rnacentral:lncRNA from 1 species